GGAUAUGGGAGCAAUCUGGCUCCCAUUUAUCUCCAGGGUUAAUUCAGCUGACCUGGCUGGCUAGGCAAGUAUCUGCUUCUUAGCUCAUCACUCCAUCUUCUUCUCUCCCACAGUUCCAUGCUCCNUGGACAAGAACAACCAUCCCAGACAGAGAACCGUUCUUCAGUCAAGGAUGUAUGAGUAGCUGUGAACCUCCAAACAAGAUUGAGAAUGUAGCAUGAUUAAGCACCCACAGAACUGCCCCUCAGGUUACAGUUUUCU
rnacentral:snRNA from 1 species